AAAAUCCGGGGGAUCAAUGCUGAGGCGUGAUAACGAGUGGUCUUGUACCGCGAAGUGAUUGAUACCCUGCUUCCAAGAAAAGCCUCUAAGCUUCAGUUAUCAAGAGACCGUACCGCAAACCGACACAGGUGGGCAGGAUGAAAAUUCUCAGGCGCUUGAGAGAACUCAGGAGAAGGAACUCGGCAAAUAUGCACCGUAACUUCGGGAGAAGGUGCGCCCUGAUAGGUUGUAGCCCCUCGCGGGUGAAGGCUGAAAGGGUUGCAGUGAACUGGUGGCUGCGACUGUUUAAUAAAAACACAGCACUCUGCAAACACGAAAGUGGACGUAUAGGGUGUGACGCCUGCCCGGUGCCGGAAGGUUAAGUGAUGGGGUGCAAGCUCUUGAUCGAAGCCCCGGUAAACGGCGGCCGUAACUAUAACGGUCCUAAGGUAGCGAAAUUCCUUGUCGGGUAAGUUCCGACCUGCACGAAUGGCGUAACGAUGGCCACACUGUCUCCUCCUGAGACUCAGCGAAGUUGAAAUGGUUGUGAAGAUGCAAUCUCCCCGCGGUUAGACGGAAAGACCCCAUGAACCUUUACUGUAGCUUUGCAUUGGACUUUGAACCGACUUGUGUAGGAUAGGUGGGAGGCUGUGAAACCGGGACGCUAGUCCGGGUGGAGCCAACCUUGAAAUACCACCCUGGUUUGUUUGAGGUUCUAACCACGGCCCGUGAAUCCGGGUCUGGGACCGUGCAUGGUAGGCAGUUUGACUGGGGCGGUCUCCUCCUAAAGUGUAACGGAGGAGUACGAAGGUACGCUAGGUACGGUCGGACAUCGUGCUAAUAGUGCAAUGGCAAAAGCGUGCUUGACUGCGAGACCCACACGUCGAGCAGGUACGAAAGUAGGUCAUAGUGAUCCGGUGGUUCUGUAUGGAAGGGCCAUCGCUCAACGGAUAAAAGGUACUCUGGGGAUAACAGGCUAAUACCGCCCAAGAGUUCAUAUCGACGGCGGUGUUUGGCACCUCGAUGUCGGCUCAUCACAUCCUGGGGCUGUAGUCGGUCCCAAGGGUAUGGCUGUUCGCCAUUUAAAGUGGUACGUGAGCUGGGUUUAAAACGUCGUGAGACAGUUUGGUCCCUAUCUGCCGUGGGCGCUGGAAAUUUGAAGGGGGCUGCUCCUAGUACGAGAGGACCGGAGUGGACGAACCUCUGGUGUACCGGUUAUGACGCCAGUCGUAUCGCCGGGUAGCUAUGUUCGGAAGAGAUAAACGCUGAAAGCAUCUAAGCGUGAAACUCGCCUUAAGAUGAGAUUUCCCCGGGGACUUGAUCCCCCUGAAGGGUCGUGGUAGACC
rnacentral:rRNA from 1 species